rnacentral:rRNA from 1 species
AUGCUGACGAGCGGCGGACGGGUGAGUAAUGCAUAGGAAUCUGCCCAGUAGUGGGGGAUAACCUGGGGAAACCCAGGCUAAUACCGCAUACGCCCUACGGGGGAAAGCAGGGGAUCUUCGGACCUUGCGCUAUCGGAUGAGCCUAUGUCGGAUUAGCUAGUUGGUAGGGUAACGGCCUACCAAGGCGACGAUCCGUAGCUGGUCUGAGAGGAUGAUCAGCCACAUCGGGACUGAGACACGGCCCGAACUCCUACGGGAGGCAGCAGUGGGGAAUAUUGGACAAUGGGAGCAACCCUGAUCCAGCCAUGCCGCGUGUGUGAAGAAGGCCUUCGGGUUGUAAAGCACUUUCAGCGAGGAAGAAGGCCUGGUGGCCAAUACCCAUCAGAAGACACACUUCAGAG